rnacentral:rRNA from 1 species
AUGAAGCUUUUAUCCGAAAACUACAAAAAGCCAAGACAAGAUUUUGCAACAGAGGACCGUGCUAUUUUCAUUAGGAAAAAAUACGAGCUUCAACAGUUUGUGACUAAUCCACAAUUUGCAUGCCCUUUACACAAACAUGGAGCAGAAAAACGUCAUAACCAGCAACAUAGUGGCAGCAAACAUGGUACUUUCAGAAAUAGCUGGAGGAAAAAGGAAUCCGAAAACAAAGGAGUAAAAAAAAUGAUGGAUGUGGGCAUGGUAGAGUUCGUUGGAUUAAUUAAGGUCGACAUCAUAAGGGGCACAGAUUUAGCUGUUCGUGAUGUGAUGUCAAGUGAUCCAUAUGUUAUGAUUAUACUAGGACACCAAUCUAUGAAAACAAAGGUGAUAAAGAACACACUGAACCCUAUAUGGAAUGAAAGAUUGAUGCUAUCAAUCCCUGACCCAGUGCCGCCUCUUAAAGUGCUAGUGUUCGACAAGGACACAUUCACCUCCGACGACCGAAUGGGAGAGGCUGAAGUUGAUAUCCAGCCAUUGAUCUCUGCAGCAAGAGAGUACCAGAGCUCCAUCAUCACAGAAUCGACACAGAUAUGCACAUUCUUGGCAAGCGAGAACAGCAUUCUAGCCAAGGACAGCAUUAUCUCGAUCGUCGAUGGUAAGGUGGAGCAGGAGAUUGCAUUGAGGCUUCAGAACGUCGAGCACGGGGAGCUUGAGAUCAAGCUUGAGUGCGUGCCCCUCAGUCAGUAG